rnacentral:rRNA from 1 species
UACAGAGGUCCCAAGCGUUGUUCGGAUUCAUUGGGCGUAAAGGGUGCGUAAGUGGCGCCGUAAGUCAGGUGUGAAAUCUCGGGGCUUAACUCCGAAACUGCAUUUGAUACUGCGGUGCUUGAGGACUGGAGAGGAGACUGGAAUUUACGGUGUAGCGGUGAAAUGCGUAGAUAUCGAUAAGGAAGACCAGUGGCGAAGGCGGGUCUCUGGACAGUUCCUGACACUGAGGCACGAAGGCCAGGGGAGCAAACGGG